rnacentral:rRNA from 1 species
GCGGAAGGGUUAGUAAUACAUGGGUAACCUACCUUUAACUCUGGGAUAACGGUUGGAAACGACCGCUAAUACCGGAUGUGGUAAAAAGGAGACAUCUUUAUUUUAUUAAAGUGGGGGAUCGUAAGACCUCGCGGUUAAUGAGGGGCCCAUGGGAUAUCAGCUAGUUGGUGUGGUAAAGGCGCACCAAGGCUAAGACGUCUAGGCGGAUUGAGAGAUUGACCGCCAACACUGGGACUGAGAACUGCCCAGACUCCUACGGGAGGCUGCAGUCGAGAAUCAUUCGCAAUGGGCGAAAGCCUGACGAUGCGACGCCGUGUGAGCGAAGAAGGCCUUAGGGUCGUAAAGCUCUUUCGCUUGGGAACAAGAUAAGCUGGCUAAUAUCCGGCAAGUUUGAGCGUACCAGGUAAAGAAGCACCGGCUAACUCCGUGCCAGCAGCUGCGGUAAUACGGAGGGUGCAAGCGUUAAUCGGAUUUAUUGGGCGUAAAGGGCGCGUAGGCGGGGGUGCAAGUCAGAUGUGAAAUCCCGGGGCUCAACCUCGGAACAGCAUUUGAAACUACAUCUCUAGAGGGUAGGCGGAGAAAACGGAAUUCCACAAGUAGCGGUGAAAUGCGUAGAUAUGUGGAAGAACACCGGUGGCGAAGGCGGUUUUCUAGCUUAUUCCUGACGCUAAAGCGCGAAAGUAAGGGGAUCAAACAGGAUUAGAUACCCUGGUAGUCCUUACUGUAAACUAUGUAUACUUGGUGU